ACGGAAGGCAGCAGUGGGGAAUAUUGCACAAUGGGGGAAACCCUGAUGCAGCGACGCCGCGUGAAGGAAGAAGUGUCUCGGUAUGUAAACUUCUAUCAGCAGGGAAGAUAGUGACGGUACCUGACUAAGAAGCCCCGGCUAACUACGUGCCAGCAGCCGCGGUAAUACGUAGGGGGCAAGCGUUAUCCGGAUUUACUGGGUGUAAAGGGAGCGUAGACGGUGUGGCAAGUCUGAUGUGAAAGGCAUGGGCUCAACCUGUGGACUGCAUUGGAAACUGUCAUACUUGAGUGCCGGAGGGGUAAGCGGAAUUCCUAGUGUAGCGGUGAAAUGCGUAGAUAUUAGGAGGAACACCAGUGGCGAAGGCGGCUUACUGGACGGUAACUGACGUUGAGGCUCGAAAGCGUGGGGAGCAAGCAGGAUUAGAUACCCUGGUA
rnacentral:rRNA from 1 species